AGAUGAUGAUUCCCCUAGAACAGCUGGAAUUACCGGCAGAUGGAAUAGUGGUGAACCUAUGGUUUUCUGAAG
rfam:Tupaia chinensis contig78862, whole genome shotgun sequence.